GAUGAACGCUGGCGGCGUGCCUAAUACAUGCAAGUCGAGCGAACGGACGAGAAGCUUGCUUCUCUGAUGUUAGCGGCGGACGGGUGAGUAACACGUGGAUAACCUACCUAUAAGACUGGGAUAACUUCGGGAAACCGGAGCUAAUACCGGAUGAUAUUUUGAACCGCAUGGUUCAAAAGUGAAAGACGGUCUUGCUGUCACUUAUAGAUGGAUCCGCGCUGCAUUAGCUAGUUGGUAAGCUAACGGCUUACCAAGGCAACGAUGCAUAGCCGACCUGAGAGGGUGAUCGGCCACACUGGAACUGAGACACGGUCCAGACUCCUACGGGAGGCAGCAGUAGGGAAUCUUCCGCAAUGGGCGAAAGCCUGACGGAGCAACGCCGAGUGAGUGAUGAAGGUCUUCGGAUCGUAAAACUCUGUUAUUAGGGAAGAACAUAUGUGUAAGUAACCGUGCACAUCUUGACGGUACCUAAUCAGAAAGCCACGGCUAACUACGUG
rnacentral:rRNA from 1 species